CAUUUGCACCGUAAUUACGGUUGUCAGACAGUUGUUUGACAUUAAAAGGGAAUCUAGUGAAAAUCUAGAACUAUACCCGUAGCUGUAAGCUCUUUACGCUUUGAAUUAAAACCACUGCUUCGAACCUUCGGAGCGGGAAGGGGUUCAAAGUAUGGAGUAAGUCAGAAGACCUGCCUAAUUGCCAUAGAACACG
rnacentral:ncRNA from 1 species